rnacentral:rRNA from 1 species
GACGAACGCUGGCGGCGUGCUUAACACAUGCCAGUCGAACGGAAAGGCCUGCUUUCCCUUGUGGAUUGCGGGUGCUCGAGUGGCGAACGGGUGAGUAACACGUGAGUGAUCUGCCCCCAACUUGGGUAUAAGCCCGGGAAACUGGGUCUAAUUCCCGAUAGGACUGCAGGGUGGUGCCUGUGGUGGAAAACGAUUUUCUAGUGGUUGGGGAUGAGCUCGCGGCCUAUCAGCUUGUUGGUGGGGUAAUGGGCUACCAAGGCGGCGACGGGUAGCCGGCCUGGGAGGGUGGACGGCCACAUUGGGACUGAGAUACGGCCCAGACUCCUACGGGAGGCAGCAGUGGGGAAUAUUGCACAAUGGGCGGAAGCCUGAUGCAGCGACGCCGCGUGGGGGAUGACGGCCUUCGGGUUGUAAACUCCUUUCGACCGCGAGGAAGCCACCUGGUUGGAAGGGUGGUGACGGUAGUGGUAGAAGAAGCACCGGCUAACUACGUG